rnacentral:tRNA from 1 species
ACUUUAGUAGUUUAAAUAAAACAUCGGCCUUGUAAGUCGGAAACCGAAGACUCGCCCCUUCCUUAAGUA